CGGGGCAGGCCGCGUGGCUGGGAGGCAUGGAGGCUUCUGGCUGGAUCCAACAGGGCGAGCCUUCUCGGGCCUUUGGCUGCGGCUUUUCUUUGGCAUCUGCGGAGACAGCAGCAGACCUGCAGGUUGAAGCUUAAAAGUAACGAAUGCAUCCCUGAAAUGAGUAAGGAUGGAUGCCGGAAGGCCCGCCACCUACCGCAGCCUCACACUUUAUUCUGGUUUUAAGUUCAGUUUUAUGAACACGUGGACGCAUAAAUCCAGUUAGGGUGCAGUCUCAGCCUCGGUGUCUGAGGCUGGAAAAGGAUCCUGCAGAAGCAGAUAGGUAGCGCCUAGUCUGCUGCCCUGGGCCCGAAGUGGAGACUUUGCUUUCGUACAUGUCUGCGGUGUGUGAGACAGAACUGACAUGCUUUGCCUGAAGUUAUCUCCUCAGGACAGGCGAUGCCAGGUGGAGCAGCACGGCCUCUGUUGCUAAUUGUUAAUGCCUGCAAAAUAAUCCCCCAAAGGGAGAAUAGUUGAAGAAUUCUUUGGACUUGGUCUGCAAAAGGAGCCAAAGAAUUUGAGUGACAGCUCAUCCCGCUGGCAGUCAAAUCAGGGUGUAACAUCCAGAAUGCCACAGUUUAGCUGAUCUGGGUGUAACUGGUGUGCUGGCAAGAGGGCAUGAUUGUGAACUGAAAAGGGUUAAUGUGUAUGUGCUCUGUUUUGGGGAGACUGAGGGGAAGCAGGUGCUCCGCCUAGAAAGAGGUUUCUCAGAAUGGAUUUCCUGUGAAGUUAAUGUAUCUUGGGCUUAAAUUUUGAAGCACAAAUAAAAGUUUUUAAAAAUG